UGAGGUAACACGUAUGCAACCUGCCUGCCACAGUCCGGAUAAUCGGGAGAAAUUCCGUCUAAUACGGCAUAAUGCAUCGACGGGACAUCCUGUUGGUGUCCAAAGGUUGAUUCCGGUGGCGGAUGGGCAGUGCGUCGCAUUAGUUAGUUGGCGGUGUAACGGGACCACCAAGGCGACGAUGCGUAGGGGUUCUGAGAGGAAGGUCCCCCACACUGGUACUGAGACACGGACCAGACUCCUACGGAAGGCAGCAG
rnacentral:rRNA from 1 species